AUUGAACGCUGGCGGCAUGCCUUACACAUGAAAGUCGAACGGCAGCACGGGUGCUUGCACCUGGUGGCGAGUGGCGAACGGGUGAGUAAUACAUCGGAACAUGUCCUGUAGUGGGGGAUAGCCCGGCGAAAGCCGGAUUAAUACCGCAUACGAUCUACGGAUGAAAGCGGGGGACCUUCGGGCCUCGCGCUAUAGGGUUGGCCGAUGGCUGAUUAGCUAGUUGGUGGGGUAAAGGCCUACCAAGGCGACGAUCAGUAGCUGGUCUGAGAGGACGACCAGCCACACUGGGACUGAGACACGGCCCAGACUCCUACGGGAGGCAGCAGUGGGGAAUUUUGGACAAUGGGCGAAAGCCUGAUCCAGCAAUGCCGCGUGUGUGAAGAAGGCCUUCGGGUUGUAAAGCACUUUUGUCCGGAAAGAAAUCCUUGGCCCUAAUACGGUCGGGGGAUGACGGUACCGGAAGAAUAAGCACCGGCUAACUACGUG
rnacentral:rRNA from 1 species